rnacentral:rRNA from 1 species
GGGUCAGUAGGUUGGUCGUGCCACCGGUACGUACUGGUCUCACUGAUUCCUCCUUCCUGAAGAACCGUAAUGCCAUUAAUUUGGUGUUGCGGGGAAACAGGACUGUUACUUUUAAAAAAUUAGAGUUUUUAAAGCAAGCUAACGCUUGAAUACAUUAGCAGGGAAUAAUGAAAUAGGACGAUCGAUCCUAUUUUGUUGGUUUCUAGGAUUGACGUA